GUGGGGAAUCUUCCGCAAUGGACGAAAGUCUGACGGAGCAACGCCGCGUGAGUGAAGAAGGUUUUCGGAUCGUAAAGCUCUUUCGUUAGGGACGAACGUGCUCUUUGUGAAUAAUGAGGAGUAAUGACGGUACCUAAAUAAGAAGCCACGGCUAACUACGUGCCAGCAGCCGCGGUAAUACGGAGGUGGCAAGCGUUGUCCGGAAUUAUUGGGCGUAAAGCGCGCGCAGGCGGGAUAUCAAGUCUGUCUUAAAAGUGCGAGGCUCAACCUCGUGAGGGGACAGAAACUGGUAUUCUUGAGUGUCGGAGAGGAAAGUGGAAUUCCAAGUGUAGCGGUGAAAUGCGUAGAGAUUUGGAAGAACACCAGUGGCGAAGGCGACUUUCUGGACGAUGUCUGACGCUGAGGCGCGAAAGCUAGGGGAGCGAACGGGAUUAGAUACCCCAGUAGUCC
rnacentral:rRNA from 1 species